ensembl:lncRNA
GGCAGAAUUCUGUCGCUUAGCAAGCAAAAACAAGUUCUUUAAAGAACUUGAUAAAUGCACUUCUCGCUUCCUUGAGAUUUUCAAGUUGGGGUUGUUUGCAAGGAUCUUAUGGAAUAUCUGCAACAAGUCACUCCAGCAAGCACAGAUGUCACUGGGAAGCGGACAGCAGUCCCCCGUGGCCUUCCGGCGAUCAGAGCACUGACUUCAAGACAUGCUUUGACUGCAAUGACCUUCCCAACACAUUGCACACCUCCAUGGGGAUCGGUGCGGCCUAUCCUCGCUCACUGCACCUUGAGUCGACCGCCAAUGCAAUCGUUUUGGAAGUAACACUGGUCUUAAGUGACCUUCAAAAUUUUCCGCAUGCCAUGUGCCUACUCUAUUCACACCCUGAAUUUGGAGUACCCUCAGACUCUGGACACCUGUCGAUACACCCCAGUGUCCUGGUUUCUGUCACGGAGCUUGAU